rnacentral:tRNA from 1 species
GCCGGAGUGGUGAAAUUGGUAGACACGAGGGACUCAAAAUCCCUUGCCAGCGAUGGCGUGUCGGUUCGAGUCCGACCUCCGGUACCA